UACGAAGGGGGGCUAGCGUUGCUCGGAAUCACUGGGCGUAAAGCGCACGUAGGCGGCUUUCUAAGUCAGGGGUGAAAUCCUGGAGCUCAACUCCAGAACUGCCUUUGAUACUGGGAAGCUCGAGUCCGGAAGAGGUGAGUGGAACUGCGAGUGUAGAGGUGAAAUUCGUAGAUAUUCGACAAGAACACCAGUGGCGAAGGCGGCUCACUGGACCAUUACUGACGCUGAGGCGCGAAAGCGUGGGGAGCAAACAGG
rnacentral:rRNA from 1 species